rfam:Bacillus amyloliquefaciens FZB42, complete genome.
GCGAUGAGCUGAAUUGUGUAAGCCGAUGCACAUGCCCUUGCGGCACACACGAAUGUGGCGUGUGGUGUAUCGCCUCAAUACGCAAAAGACGUUUGCUUCUGCAAACGUC